GUGGGGAAUAUUGCACAAUGGGCGCAAGCCUGAUGCAGCGACGCCGCGUGAGGGAUGACGGCCUUCGGGUUGUAAACCUCUUUCAGUAGGGAAGAAGCUUUCGGGUGACGGUACCUGCAGAAGAAGCGCCGGCUAACUACGUGCCAGCAGCCGCGGUAAUACGUAGGGCGCGAGCGUUAUCCGGAAUUAUUGGGCGUAAAGAGCUCGUAGGCGGUUUGUCGCGUCUGCCGUGAAAGUCCGGGGCUUAACCCCGGAUCUGCGGUGGGUACGGGCAGACUAGAGUGCAGUAGGGGAGACCGGAAUUCCUGGUGUAGCGGUGAAAUGCGCAGAUAUCAGGAGGAACACCGAUGGCGAAGGCAGGUCUCUGGGCUGUUACUGACGCUGAGGAGCGAAAGCAUGGGGAGCGAACAGG
rnacentral:rRNA from 1 species